UGGGGAAUAUUGGACAAUGGGCGCAAGCCUGAUCCAGCCAUGCCGCGUGAGUGAUGAAGGCCCUAGGGUUGUAAAGCUCUUUCACCGGUGAAGAUAAUGACGGUAACCGGAGAAGAAGCCCCGGCUAACUUCGUGCCAGCAGCCGCGGUAAUACGAAGGGGGCUAGCGUUGUUCGGAUUUACUGGGCGUAAAGCGCACGUAGGCGGACUUUUAAGUCAGGGGUGAAAUCCCGGGGCUCAACCCGGAACUGCCUUUGAUACUGGAAGUCUUGAGUAUGGUAGAGGUGAGUGGAAUUCCGAGUGUAGAGGUGAAAUUCGUAGAUAUUCGGAGGAACACCAGUGGCGAAGGCGGCUCACUGGACCAUUACUGACGCUGAGGUGCGAAAGCGUGGGGAGCAAACAGG
rnacentral:rRNA from 1 species